AACCUGGUUGAUGCCUGCCAGUAGUCAUAUGCGUUGUGCUCAAAGAUUAAGCCAUGCAUGUCUCAGUAUAAGCUUCUAUAUGGCGAAACUGCGAAUGGCUCAUUAAAACAGUUAUAGUUUAUUUGGUGGUCAACUUCUACAUGGAUAACCGUGGUAAUUCUAGAGCUAAUACAUGCGCCCAAACCCAACUUCUUGGAAGGGUUGUGUUUAUUAGAUACAGAACCAACCCAGGCUCCGCCUGGCCUUGAGGUGAUUCAUAAUAACCGAACGAAUCGCAUGGCUCCGCCGGCGAUAGACCAUUCAAGUUUCUGACCUAUCAGCUAUCGUCGGUAGGGUAUUGGCCUACCGUGGCAAUGACGGGUAACGGAGAAUUAGGGUUCGAUUCCGGAGAGGGAGCCUGAGAAACGGCUACCACAUCUAAGGAAGGCAGCAGGCGCGCAAAUUACCCAAUCCUGACGCAGGGAGGUAGUGACAAGAAAUAACAGUACAGGGCAUAUCUGUCUUGUAAUUGGAAUGAGUAAACUUUAAAUCACUUUGCGAGUAUCAAUUGGAGGGCAAGUCUGGUGCCAGCAGCCGCGGUAAUUCCAGCUCCAAUAGC
rnacentral:rRNA from 1 species